AGCAGCCGCGGUAAUUCCAGCUCCAAUAGCGUAUAUUAAAGUUGUUGCAGUUAAAAAGCUCGUAGUUGAAUUUCGGGAUUAGUACGCUGGUCAUGCCUUUGGUAUGUACUGGUGUUACUGAUUUCUACCUUCUGAAGAACCGUUAUGUCAUUUAUUUGGUGUGGCGGGGAAUCAGGACUGUUACUUUGAAAAAUUAGAGUGUUUAAAGCAGGCUCGCGCUUGAAUACAUUAGCAUGGAAUAAUGAAAUAGGACGUUUGACCCUAUUUUGUUGGUUUCUAGGAUCGACGUAAUGAUUAAUAGGGAUAGUUGGGGGCAUUAGUAUUCAAUUGUCAGAGGUGAAAUUCUUGGAUUUAUUGAAGACUAACUACUGCGAAAGCAUUUGCCAAGGAUGUUUUCAUUAAUCAAGAACGAAAGUUAGGGGAUCGAAGACGAUCAGAUACCGUCGUAGUCUUAACCAUAAACUAUGCCGACUAGGGAUCGGGAUGAUGUUAUUUUUAAUGACUCAUUCGGCGCCUUAAC
rnacentral:rRNA from 1 species